AAGCAUAUACAGUGACCGCAGGCGAUUGCCAUCGCGUCGCUACUCUCCACCUCCGCACUAUGCGAGAUCGCGGUCUCGUAGCUGUAAGUAUUCACCUCCUCCCAAGAGAAGGCAUCAAUCUAGGUCGUUUUCACCUCGAGGAAAAAGGUAUAGUAUAGAAUGAUUGUAUUCACGCUCACCGGUAAGAGCGCGCUCUCCACCUUACAAUGGGGGGUCUAGGAGUCCUGGUCGAAGUCCCAUCAGAGACAGGUCUCCUCCCCCCUAUAAUAAUGGUUCAAGGAGCCCAAGCCAAAGCCCUGAAAGAGAGGAACGGUCACCAAUGGGCCGAAGCCCAAUUUGAAGUCCAAGUCGAAGCAGGAGCAGGAGCCCUGAUCCUCGUGUGCAUGCGAGAGUCAAACCAAAGAUAGAUGCUUCACUUAGCCCUUGAGUAAGACUCUGCACCCAGCGUGAUAUGGGUGUGGAACUGCUGUUGUGUUUUUAGAAUUUGGACAUGAUUUCACUUUGUUCAGGUGUUGGUUGUGGCUGUCUUGGUGUUGUUGGCACCUUUUAGUUUUCGAGUAUUUUUGUGAUUCGAAUGCUAAUGAUUUUGAUCUUGAACUGA